UUACUUUACUUUUUUAUUUCCUUCUAACUAUAGACCUUGUGGGUGUAUAGCACAGCUAGCUAUUAUAUAGCUAUGAGGAAUACCAGUACCUGCUGCUGCCAGUAAUUCCUUGAUGGAUUAUCUCAUAAAACUAGUCCCAGAUUUCAAAAAUUUGUUUGAAUUUAGGAAAUGAGUUAAUAUUCCUAAUUGACCACAACAACCACUCCCAGUCAUGAUGGAGAGAAGUGUUCAAUACCCACAGAUCCUGAAUGUUGAGCUGAUUAUACUAACUAGAUGGGACUUAGUUUUGUCUACCGUGGGGUUCUCUAUGGUGAAGAUGGCAACUUGCUGACUCAGUCUCAGAAUGCGUUAAAUCCACAUAUUCUGGCAAGUGGAGUUCUGCUUCUCCAAUAUCUCUUCCAGAUUAAGUCUGGAGAGGACUGUAAUUGAUCCACCCUGAGUCAUCUGCCCAUGUCCAAAGCAAUGAGUUUGGAAAAUUUCAUGACACACUCCUAAUUUUGUGGUAGGAGACACAUCAGAACCACACAAUGAGUCAGUCCUAUUUAUGAAAUAGAGGUUCAUCUAUCAGAUGAAAGGGAAAAAAGUUGUAAAAACAAAACAGAUGUUCACUAAUGGGAAUCUAUCUGAAUUUCACCUGUAACUACAAAUGCUUAAAAGUAGAUUUACAGUUCUCCUAGAGUGUCAUGAAUUUAAAAACAUAUGCAUGGAAUCAUAAAAUAGUAUCCUAAUCACCUCUCUCAACUUUGUGUUGAAUCUCUCCUUAACAUAAAAUGAGAAUAUUUUAGCAGCAGGAGAAGGAUUAUUUUUUCGUUUAUAGACCUUUAUCAGACACUAAUGUAGGAUUGAGUUUGACCUGAUACAGUGUUCUAUCUCUGAGUGUUGUCAUUCAGUUUUAUCAUAAAUAAAAUUUAUUUUAUAUGAUACCAUAUAGAGAACAAAUUUACUUAUUUUUCUCAUGUAAUCAUGUAAUCAAUUGUUCCAACAGAAUCCAUUGAAUAGAUACUGUGGCAUUUCCCUAAUUAUUUAUAAAGGCACUGUUACUAGAUAUGAAUAUUUAUAUGUGAGGAUAUGAAUCAUGGCUCUCUGAUUUGUUCAUUAUUUUCUUGUCUAUUCCUGUGCCAGUAUCAUACAAUUGGUACUAAUAUAGUGUUCUGAUAUUGACAGGAUGAAGUGCUCCUUCUAAUGAUGUAGCUUUAAAUUUGUCUUGGUUGUGCAUUUCUUUUUAUUCUUCCAUAGAGAUUUGUGGUUCAGUUGUCAGCUUUGAAAAUCACUUUUGGGAUUUGAAUUUGAAUUGCAUUAAAUUUGUAGACUAACUUGUAGAAAAUUGACAUUUUUAUGAUAUGAAUUUACACAUCCUUAUAACCAUGGGUGUGUUACUUAUUUUCACUUUUGAAUAUUAUUAUGGGUUUUUAGUAAUAAAAAUAACAAUCAACGAGUUACAUGGUGGUUACUAUGUGACAGAUGUUGUCAAAGUUCCAUCCAUAUAUCAACUUAUAUAUUCUUAUGGGAAGAGACCAUUAUUAUCUCCAUUACAAAAAUAAGAAAAUCGAGGUACAAAGAGCUUAAGUAACACGCGCUAAGUCAUAUAAGAGUAAAGCUUUAUUUGAAUCCAUGCAGUUUGUCUCCAAAGCUUGAAAUCCAUUUUAUUUUCUUUUAGUUUUACUUUUUUUAAAAAAAUUUUCGAGAUGGAAUCUCGCUUCG